CCUACGGGAGGCUGCAGUGGGGAAUAUUGGACAAUGGGGGGAACCCUGAUCCAGCCAUGCCGCGUGUGUGAAGAAGGCCCUCGGGUUGUAAAGCACUUUCAGUGAGGAAGAACGCCUGGUGGUUAAUACCCAUCAGGAAAGACAUCACUCACAGAAGAAGCACCGGCUAACUCCGUGCCAGCAGCCGCGGUAAUACGGAGGGUGCGAGCGUUAAUCGGAAUUACUGGGCGUAAAGCGCGCGUAGGUGGCUUGAUAAGCCGGUUGUGAAAGCCCCGGGCUCAACCUGGGAACUGCAUUCGGAACUGUCAAGCUAGAGUGCAGGAGAGGGAGGUAGAAUUCCCGGUGUAGCGGUGAAAUGCGUAGAGAUCGGGAGGAAUACCAGUGGCGAAGGCGGCCUUCUGGACUGAGACUGACACUGAGGUGCGAAAGCGUGGGUAGCAAACAGGAUUAGAUACCCUAGUAGUC
rnacentral:rRNA from 1 species